rnacentral:rRNA from 1 species
GACGAACGCUGGCGGCGUGCUUAACACAUGCAAGUCGAACGGAAAGGCCCUGCUUUUGUGGGGUGCUCGAGUGGCGAACGGGUGAGUAACACGUGAGUAACCUGCCCUUGACUUUGGGAUAACUUCAGGAAACUGGGGCUAAUACCGGAUAGGAGCUCCUGCUGCAUGGUGGGGGUUGGAAAGUUUCGGCGGUUGGGGAUGGACUCGCGGCUUAUCAGCUUGUUGGUGGGGUAGUGGCUUACCAAGGCUUUGACGGGUAGCCGGCCUGAGAGGGUGACCGGCCACAUUGGGAAUGAGAUACGGCCCAGACUCCUACGGGAGGCAGCAGUGGGGAAUAUUGCACAAUAGGCGGAAGCCAGAUGCAGCAACGCCGCGUGCGGGAUGACGGCCUUCGGGUUGUAAACCGCUUUCGCCUGUGACGAAGCGUGAGUGACGGUAAUGGGUAAAGAAGCACCGGCUAACUACGUG